rnacentral:rRNA from 1 species
GAUGAACGCUGGCGGCGUGCCUAAUACAUGCAAGUCGAGCGAACGGACGAGAAGCUUGCUUCUCUGAUGUUAGCGGCGGACGGGUGAGUAACACGUGGAUAACCCACCUAUAAGACUGGGAUAACUUCGGGAAACCGGAGCUAAUACCGGAUAAUAUUUUGAACCGCAUGGUUCAAAAGUGAAAGACGGUCUUGCUGUCACUUAUAGAUGGAUCCGCGCUGCAUUAGCUAGUUGGUAAGGUAACGGCUUACCAAGGCAACGAUGCAUAGCCGACCUGAGAGGGUGAUCGGCCACACUGGAACUGAGACACGGUCCAGACUCCUACGGGAGGCAGCAGUAGGGAAUCUUCCGCAAUGGGCGAAAGCCUGACGGAGCAACGCCGCGUGAGUGAUGAAGGUCUUCGGAUCGUAAAACUCUGUUAUUAGGGAAGAACAUAUGUGUAAGUAACUGUGCACAUCUUGACGGUACCUAAUCAGAAAGCCACGGCUAACUACGUGCCAGCAGCCGCGGUAAUACGUAGGUGGCAAGCGUUAUCCGGAAUUAUUGGGCGUAAAGCGCGCGUAGGCGGUUUUUUAAGUCUGAUGUGAAAGCCCACGGCUCAACCGUGGAGGGUCAUUGGAAACUGGAAAACUUGAGUGCAGAAGAGGAAAGUGGAAUUCCAUGUGUAGCGGUGAAAUGCGCAGAGAUAUGGAGGAACACCAGUGGCGAAGGCGACUUUCUGGUCUGUAACUGACGCUGAUGUGCGAAAGCGUGGGGAUCAAACAGGAUUAGAUACCCUGGUAGUCCACGCUGUAAACGAUGAGUGCUAAGUGUUAGGGGGUUUCCGCCCCUUAGUGCUGCAGCUAACGCAUUAAGCACUCCGCCUGGGGAGUACGACCGCAAGGUUGAAACUCAAAGGAAUUGACGGGGACCCGCACAAGCGGUGGAGCAUGUGGUUUAAUUCGAAGCAACGCGAAGAACCUUACCAAAUCUUGACAUCCUUUGACAACUCUAGAGAUAGAGCUUUCCCCUUCGGGGGACAAAGUGACAGGUGGUGCAUGGUUGUCGUCAGCUCGUGUCGUGAGAUGUUGGGUUAAGUCCCGCAACGAGCGCAACCCUUAAGCUUAGUUGCCAUCAUUAAGUUGGGCACUCUAAGUUGACUGCCGGUGACAAACCGGAGGAAGGUGGGGAUGACGUCAAAUCAUCAUGCCCCUUAUGAUUUGGGCUACACACGUGCUACAAUGGACAAUACAAAGGGCAGCGAAACCGCGAGGUCAAGCAAAUCCCAUAAAGUUGUUCUCAGUUCGGAUUGUAGUCUGCAACUCGACUACAUGAAGCUGGAAUCGCUAGUAAUCGUAGAUCAGCAUGCUACGGUGAAUACGUUCCCGGGUCU